UUUUAUGAACGCAAUAAAAAAAAAGGAAAAGAAAAAUAAAAAAUGUCAAUAACACAAAAUCUCAAAAAUUCAGAAACUCAAAGAUUUUUAAAUUAAGCGAUUCGUUGGCUUGAAAAUUUGAAACUUCGAACGUCUGAAAAUUAAAAGAUUCCAAAUCCUUUUUACUCCUCCUAAGAACCUUUAAAAGUCCCUAAUAAUCAAUCUCACGUUCAGAGAAACCUGAUCAAUGAAAGUUGCGUAAAUCCGAGCUAAAUAGGCCGCAAAUCCAUCUACACUGUCAUCGCGAAUCCAUCAGCGUAAUUACGACACAAAGUUGCUCACAAUAAUGCUGACAUUUCCUUUUGACACGUCUCUUCUCGCCAGAAGAAAUCUUUCACGAAGAGUCACGAUUCUCCAGCUCGAACCAGCACCUAUAGGUGUGAAUUAUUAGUACGGGAACGUCGAGUUUCACGUUGACGAGCAACGAUGGUCGAGAUUAUAAAGAGCUGGUUGUUUAUUCGUUGCGGGCACAGGUUGCCGCAACCGCGACGCGGCCGGCCCCGUCAUAAAUGUAAAUUGAAUUCCGUCGCAUAAAUUUCCACCGUGCGGCGUACCCAAUAAAUUCACCGCCCGAUACAAUCAGUAAUAUUCUGUAACAUCGUCGCCGAUCGGAUUACGAAACUCUUUCCGCGCUGAUCGAACAAGUGCCCUUGGAACCCUGUUGACUCUUGGACGAGGAACCAUCCUUCGCUCAUUAUCCGUGAAACUGCUAUUAUACGUCAAAUAAUAUUAUAGAGUGACGGAGGAUUCCAGCUGUAACACGUGCCGCGAGAACGAUGCCGCUUCCGUUCAUGGAUCGCCUGGAAUAUCGUUGUUCCAACGGAAACGUGACUUGCAAGGGCCGACUGACUACCAAUUACGAUUUGUUCGACUAUGUUACGAGAGAUCGGGUUUCUGUUAAUCGGUCUACGAGCUAUUCUAUAGUCAAUGUCGAUUAACUCAAUUUUCUUUA